AAUGGAUUGUCCCAAUCCCUGCUCGUGGGUUUUCCAAUGUCCCAAUUUUAUGCUUGUUGUUAGGACUUAUAAAAGCUUACUGGGUUUGUUUUGAAGACAAGGGAAAAAAUAACAUUACGCUAUUUUAAAUGCCUGCAACUAUUUCAAAUAUGACCCAAGGCAGUAAAAAUGCCAUAUUUCCCAAACCACAAACCCCACUCCUUGUUAAAAUCCAAUUGCCAUCUGAGUGUGGGAUGAAGAGUCAGGAUGCCAAACCCUGAGUAUCACACAUGUGAUCUUUCUUUGGGGGAAAUCCUGUGAAAUACGGCUGUGUCCACGACUUUCAUUUCUGCGUUUCACAGCCGAACUUCCUAAAACUGCUGAAAAACCAUACUCCAGAGGUACAGCUUCUAGACCCCCACUACAGCUUGACCUGAAGGAACAGGGCUUGGUGGAGAAUGAAAAGGGAAUGCAAAUCAGUUCUGAGAGCUCUCCUUUGAGAUAUCAGAGAUGGCAAAACACAGUGCACAGAAGUGGCUGAUGGAGCAUCUAUGGCACAGAGAAGGCACUCACUUUAUCUGGAGUCACACAGCAGGCCAGUCCUGGAGCCAGAAAACAGACAAGUCUGAUUUCCAAAGGCAACCAAGCCAUGGCAGAAACUCAAUGUGUUCUUCUCUGAAGGAUAAAACAAGUGAACUGUAGAAGAGCGUUCAGAAAAACCAAGGCUCUAGAUUUUGUGAACAAAACAUUCUUCUCUUCCCCUGGACUCCUUCCUGUGCCUUAUGCCCAAGAAAACCACACAACUUAAAUGCUUUGGCGUUGGGUGGCUUCCUCCUGCAUCUCA
rnacentral:lncRNA from 1 species